rnacentral:rRNA from 1 species
CCUACGGGUGGCAGCAGUGGGGAAUAUUGCACAAUGGGCGAAACCCUGAUGCAGCGACUCCGCGUGAGUGAUGACGUAUUUCGGUAUGUAAAGCUCUAUCAGCAGGGAAGAAAAUGACGGUACCUGAUGAAGAAGCCCCGGCUAACUACGUGCCAGCAGCCGCGGUAAUACGUAGGGGGCAAGCGUUAUCCGGAUUUACUGGGUGUAAAGGGAGCGUAGACGGCAGCACAAGUCUGGAGUGAAAUGCCGGGGCUUAACCCCGGAACUGCUUUGGAAACUGUGCAGCUAGAGUGCGGGAGAGGUAAGUGGAAUGCCUAGUGUAGCGGUGAAAUGCGUAGAUAUUAGGAGGAACACCAGUGGCGAAGGCGGCUUACUGGACUGUAACUGACGUUGAGGCUCGAAAGCGUGGGUAGCAAACAGGAUUAGAUACCCGAGUAGUC